CCUACGGGAGGCAGCAGUGGGGAAUAUUGGACAAUGGGGGGAACCCUGAUCCAGCGACGCCGCGUGAGUGAAGAAGUAUUUCGGUAUGUAAAGCUCUAUCAGCAGGGAAGAAAGAAAUGACGGUACCUGACUAAGAAGCCCCGGCUAACUACGUGCCAGCAGCCGCGGUAAUACGUAGGGGGCAAGCGUUAUCCGGAUUUACUGGGUGUAAAGGGAGCGUAGACGGUUACGCAAGUCUGGAGUGAAAGGCGGGGGCCCAACCCCCGGACUGCUUUGGAAACUGUAUAACUGGAGUGCGGGAGAGGUAAGUGGAAUUCCUAGUGUAGCGGUGAAAUGCGUAGAUAUUAGGAGGAACACCAGUGGCGAAGGCGGCUUACUGGACUGUAACUGACGUUGAGGCUCGAAAGCGUGGGGAGCAAACAGGAUUAGAUACCCCGGUAGUC
rnacentral:rRNA from 1 species